rnacentral:pre_miRNA from 1 species
ACGAACGGAUCGAACCUGUUGCGUGUCGAACUUGUUCGAGUUCGAGCAACGGGUCGAUCCAAGCCA